CUUGGUGGCCAUAGCGCGGUGGUCCCACCUGAUCCCAUGCCGAACUCAGAAGUGAAACGCCGUAGCGCCGAUGGUAGUGUGGG
rnacentral:rRNA from 1 species